rnacentral:rRNA from 1 species
AGUGAACGCUGGCGGUAGGCCUAACACAUGCAAGUCGAACGGCAGCACAGUAAGAGCUUGCUCUUACGGGUGGCGAGUGGCGGACGGGUGAGGAAUACAUCGGAAUCUACUUUUUCGUGGGGGAUAACGUAGGGAAACUUACGCUAAUACCGCAUACGACCUACGGGUGAAAGCAGUGGAUCUUCGGACCUUGCGCGAUUGAAUGAGCGGAUGUCGGAUUAGCUAGUUGGCGGGGUAAAGGCCCACCAAGGCGACGAUCCGUAGCUGGUCUGAGAGGAUGAUCAGCCACACUGGAGCUGAGACACGGUCCAGACUCCUACGGGAGGCAGCAGUGGGGAAUAUUGGACAAUGGGCGCAAGCCUGAUCCAGCCAUACCGCGUGGGUGAAGAAGGCCUUCGGGUUGUAAAGCCCUUUUGUUGGGAAAGAAAAGCAGCAGGUUAAUACCCCGCUGUUCUGACGGUACCCAAAGAAUAAGCACCGGCUAACUUCGUG